CGGGACGUGGCGCAGUCUGGGUAGCGCACCUGAAUGGGGUUCAGGGGGUCGGAGGUUCAAAUCCUCUCGUCCCGACCA
rnacentral:tRNA from 1 species